rnacentral:rRNA from 1 species
UGGGGAAUUUUCCGCAAUGGGCGAAAGCCUGACGGAGCAAUGCCGCGUGGAGGUGGAAGGCCUACGGGUCGUCAACUUCUUUUCUCAGAGAAGAAACAAUGACAGUAUCUUAGGAAUAAGCAUCGGCUAACUCUGUGCCAA